UGACUUCCACACCCUUGCUGAAGCGCUUGUUGUUGUCUGCCAAGAACCAAAGGGCUGAUGAACCAUCACUGGAAUCACCAGAGUGGGACAGUGAUAUGGCAUCCAUCCUCCUCCUUCUGCACCUCCUGUCACCCCAGCCUGCGGGAAGGAAGAAAACCCAGAAGAUCAGUGUAGCUCAGGCCAUUGACCAUCUGGUCAUAUUUCACAAGUCCUGUAGGAGUCUGGAUGAGCACCUUCAGAGCCAUAUCGACAGCCAUAUCUUCUUGCUUCAGGGACCAGCAAGGAGGCCAUCGGCAUUUUCUUCAUUGUGAUCGACAAGAAGCUCAUCCCCUGUGAGGCUACUUCCUUAGCAGCAAUUGAUGA